GUCUACGGCCAUACCACCCUGAAUGCACCAGAUCGCGUCUGAUGCAGAAGCUAAGUGGGGUCGGGCCUGGUUAGUGCUUGGAUAGGAGACCGCCUGGGAACACUGGGUGCUGUAGGUG
ensembl:rRNA 5S_rRNA 5S ribosomal RNA